rnacentral:rRNA from 1 species
GACGAACGCUGGCGGCGUGCUUAACACAUGCAAGUCGAGCGGAAAGGCCCUUUCGGGGGUACUCGAGCGGCGAACGGGUGAGUAACACGUGAGUAAUCUGCCCUGUGCUUUGGGAUAGCCACCGGAAACGGUGAUUAAUACCGGAUACGACACACUUUCGCAUGAGAUGUGUGUGGAAAGUUUUUCGGCGCAGGAUGUGCUCGCGGCCUAUCAGCUUGUUGGUGGGGUAAUGGCCUACCAAGGCUUCGACGGGUAGCCGGCCUGAGAGGGUGACCGGCCACACUGGGACUGAGACACGGCCCAGACUCCUACGGGAGGCAGCAGUGGGGAAUAUUGGACAAUGGGCGGAAGCCUGAUCCAGCAACGCCGCGUGAGGGAUGACGGCCUUCGGGUUGUAAACCUCUUUCAGCACCGACGAAGCGAGAGUGACGGUAGGUGCAGAAGAAGGACCGGCCAACUACGUGCCAGCAGCCGCUGUAACAC